rnacentral:rRNA from 1 species
GGGGAAUAUUGCACAAUGGGCGCAAGCCUGAUGCAGCCAUGCCGCGUGUGUGAAGAAGGCCUUCGGGUUGUAAAGCACUUUCAGCGAGGAGGAAGGGUUCAGUGUUAAUAGCACUGUUCAUUGACGUUACUCGCAGAAGAAGCACCGGCUAACUCCGUGCUAGCAGCCGCGGUAAUACGGAGGGUGCAAGCGUUAAUCGGAAUUACUGGGCGUAAAGCGCACGCAGGCGGUUUGUUAAGUCAGAUGUGAAAUCCCCGCGCUUAACGUGGGAACUGCAUUUGAAACUGGCAAGCUAGAGUCUUGUAGAGGGGGGUAGAAUUCCAGGUGUAGCGGUGAAAUGCGUAGAGAUCUGGAGGAAUACCGGUGGCGAAGGCGGCCCCCUGGACAAAGACUGACGCUCAGGUGCGAAAGCGUG